GUGGGGAAUAUUGGACAAUGGGCGAAAGCCUGAUCCAGCAAUGCCGCGUGCAGGAUGAAGGCCCUCGGGUUGUAAACUGCUUUUGUACGGAACGAAAAGCCUGGGGCUAAUAUCCCCGGGUCAUGACGGUACCGUAAGAAUAAGCACCGGCUAACUACGUGCCAGCAGCCGCGGUAAUACGUAGGGUGCAAGCGUUAAUCGGAAUUACUGGGCGUAAAGCGUGCGCAGGCGGUUUUGUAAGACAGUGGUGAAAUCCCCGGGCUCAACCUGGGAACUGCCAUUGUGACUGCAAGGCUAGAGUGCGGCAGAGGGGGAUGGAAUUCCGCGUGUAGCAGUGAAAUGCGUAGAUAUGCGGAGGAACACCGAUGGCGAAGGCAAUCCCCUGGGCCUGCACUGACGCUCAUGCACGAAAGCGUGGGGAGCAAACAGGAUUAGAAACCCUAGUAGUCC
rnacentral:rRNA from 1 species